rnacentral:rRNA from 1 species
CCUACGGGGUGCAGCAGUGGGGAAUAUUGCACAAUGGGGGAAACCCUGAUGCAGCGACGCCGCGUGAAGGAAGAAGUAUUUCGGUAUGUAAACUUCUAUCAGCAGGGAAGAAAAUGACGGUACCUGACUAAGAAGCCCCGGCUAACUACGUGCCAGCAGCCGCGGUAAUACGUAGGGGGCAAGCGUUAUCCGGAUUUACUGGGUGUAAAGGGUGCGUAGGUGGAUCGUUAAGUCAGUGGUCAAAUUGAGGGGCUCAACCCCUUCCCGCCAUUGAAACUGGCGUUCUUGAGUGGAAGAGAAGUAUGCGGAAUGCGUGGUGUAGCGGUGAAAUGCAUAGAUAUCACGCAGAACCCCGAUUGCGAAGGCAGCAUGCCGGCUUCCGACUGACGCUGAAGCACGAAAGCGUGGGGAUCGAACAGGAUUAGAUACCCUAGUAGUC